CACGAACCGUGCGAACGUUAUUCGGAAUUACUGGGCUUAAAGAGUUCGUAGGCGGCGUGUUAAGUUGGGUGUGAAAUCCCUUGGCUCAACCAAGGAAUUGCGCUCAAAACUAGCAUGCUUGAGGAAGACAGGGGUAAGCGGAACUGAUGGUGGAGCGGUGAAAUGCGUAGAUAUCGUGAGGAACACCGGUGGCGAAAGUGGCUCACUGGAUCUUUGCUGACGCUGAGGCACGAAAGCUAGGGUAGCGAACGGG
rnacentral:rRNA from 1 species